AGAGUUUGAUCCUGGCUCAGAUUGAACCCCUUUGGGAGGCCUAACACAUGCAAGUCGAGCGGUAGCACAGGAGAGCUUGCUCUCUGGGUGACGAGCGGCGGACGGGUGAGUAAUGUCUGGGAAACUGCCUGAUGGAGGGGGAUAACUACUGGAAACGGUAGCUAAUACCGCAUAAUGUCGCAGGACCAAAGAGGGGGACCUUCGGGCCUCUUGCCAUCAGAUGUGCCCAGAUGGGAUUAGCUAGUAGGUGGGGUAAUGGCUCACCUAGGCGACGAUCCCUAGCUGGUCUGAGAGGAUGACCAGCCACACUGGAACUGAGACACGGUCCAGACUCCUACGGGAGGCAGCAGUGGGGAAUAUUGCACAAUGGGCGCAAGCCUGAUGCAGCCAUGCCGCGUGUAUGAAGAAGGCCUUCGGGUUGUAGAGUACUUUCAGCGAGGAGGAAGGCAUUGUGGUUAAUAACCACAGUGAUCGACGUUACUCGCAGAAGAAGCACCGGCUAACUCCGUGCCAGCAGCCGCGGUAAUACGGAGGGUGCAAGCGUUAAUCGGAAUUACUGGGCGUAAAGCGCACGCAGGCGGUCUGUCAAGUCGGAUGUGAAAUCCCCCGGGCUCAACCUGGGAACUGCAUUCGAAACUGGCAGGCUAGAGUCUUGUAGAGGGGGGUAGAAUUCCAGGUGUAGCGGUGAAAUGCGUAGAGAUCUGGAGGAAUACCGGUGGCGAAGGCGGCCCCCUGGACAAAGACUGACGCUCAGGUGCGAAAGCGUGGGGAGCAAACAGGAUUAGAUACCCGGGUAGUCCACGCCGUAAACGAUGUCGACUUGGAGGUCGUUCCCUUGAGGAGUGGCUUCCGGAGCUAACGCGUUAAGUCGACCGCCUGGGGAGUACGGCCGCAAGGUUAAAACUCAAAUGAAUUGACGGGGGCCCGCACAAGCGGUGGAGCAUGUGGUUUAAUUCGAUGCAACGCGAAGAACCUUACCUACUCUUGACAUCCAGAGAACUUAGCAGAGAUGCUUUGGUGCCUUCGGGAACUCUGAGACAGGUGCUGCAUGGCUGUCGUCAGCUCGUGUUGUGAAAUGUUGGGUUAAGUCCCGCAACGAGCGCAACCCUUAUCCUUUGUUGCCAGCGGUUCGGCCGGGAACUCAAAGGAGACUGCCAGUGAUAAACUGGAGGAAGGUGGGGAUGACGUCAAGUCAUCAUGGCCCUUACGAGUAGGGCUACACACGUGCUACAAUGGCAUAUACAAAGAGAAGCGACCUCGCGAGAGCAAGCGGACCUCACAAAGUAUGUCGUAGUCCGGAUCGGAGUCUGCAACUCGACUCCGUGAAGUCGGAAUCGCUAGUAAUCGUAGAUCAGAAUGCUACGGUGAAUACGUUCCCGGGCCUUGCACUCACCGCCCGUCA
rnacentral:rRNA from 1 species